rnacentral:rRNA from 1 species
AUUGAACGCUGGCGGCGUGCCUAAUACAUGCAAGUCGAACGGAGUGGCUCACGGGUGAGUAAUGUAUAGCUAAUCUGCCCUACACUAGAGGACAACAGUUGGAAACGACUGCUAAUACUCUAUAGUGUAGGAUGAGGCUAUAUUGUAUCAGCUAGUUGGUGAGGUAAUGGCUCACCAAGGCUAUGACGCAUAACUGGUCUGAGAGGAUGAUGAGUCACACUGGAACUGAGACACGGUCGAGAAUCCUACGAGAGGGAGCAGUAGGGAAUAGUGCUCAUGGGGGGAAACCCAGAAGCAGCAACGGCGCGUGGAGGAUGACAAUUUUCGGAGAGUAAACUCUUGUUGUUAGGGAAGCGGUACCUAACGAAUAAGCACCGGCUAACUCCGUGCCAGCAGCCGCGGUAAUUC